GUGGCACCUCUUGUCCAGAAGACAACAAUCCAUGGAGAACAGGCAAUUCAGCCCUGAUCAGCCACAAGAGCUAAAUGAAGCCUCUUUGCUUGGAGCCAGUUUCCUGACAGAAAAUCUGGAGAGGAAGAUCGUCAUUGACAACAUUUUCGAGGACUGGAAUGUUAUACAGGUGACCUGCAGUGGAUUCCAACUGCUUUGUGACAUGAACAAUUGCAUUAAGGAGCACAAAAUAUGAAAAACCUCCACUGAACACAUUUGAACACAAAGGAAUUCUCCAAGAUAUUAGGGGUACUAUUUGUUUCCAUCACAGAAGCAAGAAGGUUGGCACAUGGGCAAGAGGGAGGAGAUCCAUCACAUCACCAAAUGCUUUUGAUGGACAAACCAGGGUUUUUUUCCACCACAGCCUUGCACAGUUUCCAAAAUCACAAUUCAAUGAAACUGUAAAGCACAAAAUUCACAAUAAAGAAGUCAACAAAUUGAAAUGCCA
rnacentral:lncRNA from 1 species